UCAAUUUCUCAAUAGAAAGAUGGUGUUUACUGGUGAACUUUAACCUUUCUGAGGUCAAGAGCCCCAGGAAGCAAUUUCCUGGAUUUAGAAAGAUGUUGCCUCCUGCUGUGUAAUCUUCUUGUCCAAAGAGGCCCUAAGACUCGGAACAUCUGGGAUGCUCCAUUAUAGGAGUCAGUGCCCAGAGGAAAGCAGAGUGAAAGCUAACAUUCCUUCCUGGCAGUCCAUAAAACCCGGCUCACUUUUCAGAUCUGUGCCAGCAGUGUUUGGCAGUGAAGAAGCAUCCUGUGGCCUUUGCCUUUCUACUCCCCUCCACUGUGCUUGCCUUUGCUACUCCCUUCAUCUGCCUAUCUGGCUUAGAGGACACCAUCUUCAAAGAGGCAUUUGGUCACUGAGCAGUGCUGUGUGAGAGGGAGAAGCAGCGUGAGGGGGAGAAGCCGACUUUCAGUCUGGAAAUCAGGACCAGGAACUUAUUGGAAAACACAGCUGUAGCCUCAGAAAACUUAGUCCUUAACUCUGGCAAUCAAAACUCACCAGUGGUAAGAAAUUUUCAUAUGAAUAAUUUUCAUAUUAAAACAAAAUGGACUUUUACGUCUGAUACUCACUGGCCAUUUUGUGCCACAUUAUCAUAAAUGUAGAAGUCAUACAGCUCACAAACAUGGGCAAACCCCAAUGCUUUAAGAGUACCACUUACUUUGGGAAAGUUGCUUGUUGAUAAAUUUCUAAAUUGCUGCCCUAAGUUUUUAGGCAGUGUUCUCUGCUUGUGGGUUACUGUGGUAAAGCACAGAGAGCAAUGGAGAAUCCAAGUGCUCUCAUUUAGCAUGGGAGGAGUCUGAAGCCUGCAGCCAUUUCACAACCCACCCAAGUGCAUGUGGCUAGUCAGAGGCAACGCUUGGCGUCGAAUGUGUAUCUUCUUCCCACCAUAUGCUCUGAGGUUGUGUCGGGAUGUGAGAGAGCACCACUGAGUAAGACUAAGGAAGAAAUGUUUAACUGUGACCUCAAGUGGGAACCCAGAAACUGGAAUUACGUGUGCAAGCUCAGAUCAUUUCCUACAAUCGCAGCACCAGUGGAAUUCUAUGUGACUUCUGCACGUCUUAGUUCUGGCUCUGGUACCAAGAGUGAAGGAUGCAGAUGAUCUGUCUCGGGGACUCUUCCAGGAUUAUCACCACAGUAUUCAACACAUACCUGAGGUUUGUUUUACUAUGUGAUACACCCCUAAGAGCCUUCAGCCUGGUACUGAAUUGGAUCACAGAGUCAGUGCUGUCUUGACUUCCCCGGGGCUGAUGAAACUUGGAAGAGUUCAACAUUAUCAGCUGUUGUUUGUAUGUCAGUCUGGCCUCACUAACUAAACUACUCUCUUUCAGAGAACAAAAACCUAUGGCCCCACUUCCUUUUGUAUCCCUGACAGGAGUGAUGAAUAUUUAUUCCAUGAAUGAGCACUUGGCCUUACUGACCUCCUAGGGGAAGUACAAAGAUGGUAACAAGGAGUGCCACAGUAUCCAUUCAGUCAACAUCAGAGAAGUGCAUCCAGUCUUUCCCAGUCAUUGGAUUCAGCCACAGGCUGAAAAUAGCUUUUAAAAUUGCACCUGUACUGAACACUGAAACUCAUUUCCCUGCAUCUAUGCCCUAAACAAUACAAGUAUUUACAUAGCAUUUGCAUUGUAUUAGGUAUUCGAAGUCAUCUAGAGACAACCAUAAGUAUAUGGAGGGUAGAGGUAGGUUGUAUGCAAAUCCAACACCAUCUUCUAGAAAGGACUUGAGCAUCCUUAGAUUUUGCUCCCCACAGGGGUCCUGGAACCAAUUCCUCAGAGAUAGUAAGGGAUGACGUUAUUGCAAUUCCAGGACACCCAUUUUUGCUUCAUACUGAGAGGUAGAAGUUAUUGUGGAGCAUUUAUCUCAAUAAUGACUGAGGAGAACAGCUCAGACGUAACACGCUUCAGAAAAGGCUACUUCCAAUGUAAAGGCAUGGGUAAUUUUAUAGGAAGACACCAGGAAAAUAUUUUUCAUACUAAGUAAUGCCAAAAUUUAUUAUGCACAUUUUUAACUUUAAAAAGAGAGCCAUUUCUGACUGAUAAGAUGUUCUAGCAAGUAAAAGUGCUUGCUACCAAUCCUUACAACUGGAGUUCAAUCAUGAGACCCAUAGUUUGGAAGGAAAGAACCAACUCUUGCAAGUUGUCCUCAGACCUCCACAAUCAUGCUAUAGAGCAUGCUCUUUCGCCAAAACAAACAAAUAAAAGUAUAAAAGAAGAAAAAGAGCCAUCUUAUAUACCAAUGCAUAAUGUCUUUUUAUAGUUACUUUGAAACCCCAGGGAAAUCCUUUUGAAAGAGAUUGAGAAUAAUCACCAGAUAGAAAGCUCCCCCCUUGUAAAUCUAAUCCAAGUCUCGUUUCUAUGUUUCCUCACGAUAAAACUGUUCUGUUCUGUGGAAGUCCUUCCUACAGUGUUUAAUGGCAUUUUGUCUUUCCUUACCUUUCUGAUGGAUAAGAAAUAAAACUGUAUGCCUAUCACGUAGCUCCAAACACUUGGCUUAACAAACACACUCCUUAAGCAGCAGAAAAAUGUUUCUCCCUGCAUUCCUGCCAGGGUUUUUGUUUUUGUUUUUUUUUUUUCUGUUUUUUUUAUUUUUUAAUUUUUCUGUUUUGUUUGUUUAGAUCUCAAGCUCAUGGAGGGUUUGAUUGGGAGCAAUAACAUCAAGUACAGGGGAGGCACACACCUCAGAUUCCUGGAUGUAUGUGAGUGUGUGUGUGCAUGCCUGUGUCUGUGUGCAUGUAAGUGAGUGAGUAUAUGUGUGUGUGUGUGUGUGUGUGUGUGUGUGUGUGUGUGUAUGUGUGCGCAUGUGUGUACCAGAGGGCAUGUCAGCUGUUUUUCCUCAGGCACUGUGCAUUUCUUGUUUUGAGACACUGGCCUGGAGUUCACCAGGUACGCUGGACUGGCUGAAUAGUCAACCCCUGAGGUCCACACCUGUCCCCAUCUUCUCUGGUGAAUUUGACUGGCUAAGAAUGGGUAAAUUCAACAUUACAAGGUCUACUUACCAUAUCAGAUCCUGGAAUUAGAAGCCAGUGGCUCUUAGGCUCCAUGAUGUUAUAAUGUGGGGUUGGUUUCUAUUUAGACAGACACAGUUACUAAGUGAAAUGGAUCGGUUCUCCCAGCAGGCACCAGAGGAAUAGGUUAAAAUGGCCCAGCAGUCUCUGAGCCUGUAUACAUUGUUCUCAGGGACACUGAAAAUGUCCCCAUCUAUGUCUUUUAUCAUGUCACGAAUAGGGUUAUACAUCUAAACUAAGAAUCUGAGUCAAGACAAGGCUGUUCCCAAUUGCCAUUCUGUCUAACGGGUCUCACCACUGCUCAGUAAGAGGCACCUAACCACACCCUACUCCCCCAAAAGGCCCAGCCUAUGAACAGACCCAGCUGCUGUGGUGUGUGCCAAGUGCAAGCUCAAAUUUUAAGUAACACUAAUUGGAAGUGAAUGUCUUAUAAAUAAUCCAUCCAACAUUCUUUGACG